CCAAACGGGCUCUCCUUUCUUUAAACUCUUCCUUCACCUCCUUCCCUGCCUCUCAUCACACCCCCUAAAGUGUGCGCUGCCUUCCGUAAUUUCUCAUUUCAAUGCCAUCCAAACCCCAGGCGACUUGCUCUGGUUCGUUGGCAGCCUAGUCCGGGGUCCAACCCAGACGUUUGCUGUCCAGCCCAAGCCUCUUCCUAGUACCGCCUCACAUGGGAACAGAAAGGUCAAGGCUUAAAGGAAAAUGACAGAUGGAAAGAAAAGCCUCCCCCGGCCUGUGGAGCUCCGUGAAAUCCCUCAUUAUGGGAUUUCCCUAGUCGGGGCUACAAGGAGAAGCCCGAAGGCUCAUGGCAAAAAUCGACAACACAUCAAGGCACUGUACACACAGGCGUCACUCGUCACAGCGCAAACAUCUGACAAGCAGCCCUGAGGGUGGGGGCGGCAGGGUGACAGGAAGGAGGAGGGAGGAGAGGAGAGGGGAGAGGAGAGGGAAACUACCGACAUGGUGACUUCACUUCCUGCCUGUUGGCACCCUGCCUGUUCUCCUCCACAGAGAUCCCAAGGAAAGGUCUUUUAAAAAUGCAGCAGGAAAAACUUGGGCUAGAUUCAAGGAAGACCUGAGUCCAGGGUUCCAGGAAGAGAUCGUCAGGGCAUCUCCUUCCCUGGAAAUCUUGAAGCAAGCUUCCCAUCGCCCCAGGGAGGGACACAGGCAGAGCGUCUUCCUCCGUGGGUUCUCCUGUUAUACAGAGGGAUGCUGCUCAGGACCCAGAGCUGACUGCAGCGUUUUCCUGGGAUGCUGCCACAGCCUGGAGGAUGUCCCCCUCCCCAGCUGCAGCUGCCGUCCGGAGGGUUCUCCGUGAGGUAAAGGGACGUGGUCCUGCAGCCACCGGUGAUGGAGCUGUGAUUGGAACCUGAGUCCUGCUGACUCCAGCCUCAUGCCCUGUCCUCCUGAACACACUGUCUCUUUCUCCAGUCUCCUUGCGGGCUACUCUCCGCUUCCCUGCUUCAUCACCCACAUGCCCUGAAGGUGCCGAGCAGCUGUAAACCUCUGGCUCCUCUCGCAGGGGCUUCCUUUUGGCUAGUGUGGUACACACGUGCCCACUUAGCAAACUCCACAUUCUAGCUCGAGCAUCUUACCCGUGGUGAAAUCUUCCCAGACCUCCUCAAACAGCUUGUGGUUAUUGUCAUCUUCUCCAUCCUGCUGUUGAAAAGGAGGGAGUCAUGGAGCAUAUCACACAGUCAUUUGACAGUCUCUGUCUCUCCAGUGGAUCUGUGAGCACCUUGCAAGUGAGGACCGAGUUUUACUUGUCAUUGAUUUCCACCCCCAGUCAUGGUGCUGGUGCUGACGUGUACUGAGCAGUUUUUCAAAGUGCCAAGUGCUUUACGUGGAUUAGCAUAUUUACCUUGCCUAAUAACCCUAUAAGGUAUUAUUUUCCCCCUUUUCCAAAUGAGGAAAUUGAGAAGAAGGGAACAGUGGCAACUCUAGAAUUUUAAUAAACAGGAGGAUUUAUAAGGUACAAUCUGGUUGCAGAGUACCAGGA